UCGAGGGGUAUAUUUCUUCGGAAUUAGAGACCGGCGCACGGGUGCGUAACGCGUAUGCAAUCUGCCUUUCACAGAGGGAUAGCCCAGAGAAAUUUGGAUUAAUACCUCAUAGUAUAGUGAUACCGCAUGGUACUACUAUUAAAGUCACAACGGUGAAAGAUGAGCAUGCGUCCCAUUAGCUAGUUGGUAAGGUAACGGCUUACCAAGGCAACGAUGGGUAGGGGUCCUGAGAGGGAGAUCCCCCACACUGGUACUGAGACACGGACCAGACUCCUACGGGAGGCAGCAGUGAGGAAUAUUGGUCAAUGGGCGCAAGCCUGAACCAGCCAUGCCGCGUGCAGGAUGACGGUCCUAUGGAUUGUAAACUGCUUUUGUACGGGAAGAAACAACUCUACGUGUAGAGUCUUGACGGUACCGUAAGAAUAAGGAUCGGCUAACUCCGUGCCAGCAGCCGCGGUAAUACGGAGGAUCCAAGCGUUAUCCGGAAUCAUUGGGUUUAAAGGGUCCGUAGGCGGUUUAGUAAGUCAGUGGUGAAAGCCCAUCGCUCAACGGUGGAACGGCCAUUGAUACUGCUAGACUUGAAUUAUUAGGAAGUAACUAGAAUAUGUAGUGUAGCGGUGAAAUGCUUAGAGAUUACAUGGAAUACCAAUUGCGAAGGCAGGUUACUACUAAUGGAUUGACGCUGAUGGACGAAAGCGUGGGUAGCGA
rnacentral:rRNA from 1 species